rnacentral:lncRNA from 1 species
CAAAAGCGGAAACGCAAAGUAUGACAGCGAUAACGGUUUCAUUACAAAAGAUAAAGAUACAUCACCAUAGCAGUAUUUAAAAGUUUACAACCCAUAGCUUAAAAGAAACAAAGUACAAGUUUUUCCAAAACAACAUUAAUCAAAAUAUAACUUCAUAAUAGCUUCAACACGAUGCAGCAUGCUCUAUGAUGAUGAAUCUUUACAUUCACUUACUAAUGAUUUCCUGAAAAAGCAUGUAAAACGAGCGUCAACUAUGAAAAUAGUUGGUGAGUUCACAAGUUUAUAAAAUCGAGCGUAAAACAAGGCUUUCCGUAAACACAAGUACAUUGCUUCAAUGAUAAACAAGUUGAUUGCUAUUAAUGAAUACAAGUUUAUUGCUAUAACGAGAAACGAGUUUGUAUGUAUAUGAGCAAACAAUGAGUCUCAACCAAACCUAUGACUGAAGCCCUAUCGAGAUCUAUGCUUAUCGUUCCAUAGAUGAAUAUGGUAUCAUGCACUCCAGCGAUUCGGGCGAGUGAGGAGUUGUCAAUUCCUAAUAGCGCUAUCCAUAAUGACCAUUGGCUCAAAAGAGUUAAUGGUUAGAGAUAAGGGAAGGGCCUUAGUACGAUAAGUUCUCUUGUUCCGUGUUGCAUAGACAUACAUAAAGAAACAUAACAAUACAAUGGUAAUCGUGUUUGAUACAAAUCAAUUGAAAUACAACAUUCAAAUAAUAGUUUUUCUGGACAUGCUUUUCCACCCCAAAACAUAAAAACCGAAAAUAGGGGAGUGCGUGAAUACUCACAAUAUGCAAAAUAUAGUAAUCAAGUUUAUACGAGUCAAUUAAAUAUAACGAACAUAAGUAGUUUAGGACAUGCUUUUCCACCCCAAAACAUAAAAACCGAAAAUAGGGGAGUACGUGAAUACUCACGAUGUUUUGUGUAGGCACAAGCGGUACUUCGGGAUGCACCAACGUCUUACUACCGGGAUCCUACGACAUCAAACACACGCACUAGUGAGUUCCAUGUCGAUAUCUAAUGCUAAUAUACUAAACUCUACAUAUAGGGAAAUGCCAAUUUAUGUUUUAGUAUUGGAUUUUAUAUCAAUUAGUUACACUUUUUCUGAAGUAAUGAAAUUCUAUAUAUCGGGCGAUUAAUUACAACCUUGGAAUAUAAACUUUCCAAAUUUUUAAGUCCUUAUUACAACAUAAAUUCACGAAAAUAGCAUUCGAGGGAUAAAAAUUCUCAAACUUUUUAUUUAACUGUUAUUACACAAUACUAAGCUGGGAAAAUUAUAAAAAUGGAUUUCCAAGCUGUUUAAUUAUAUUUUAUGAUUUUUGAGCAUUUAUUUCAAUAAAAAUUGAAAUAAAUAGAAAACAGUUUCCAAAAUUACCCAAACUUUUUAUUUAAUUGUUAUUAUACAUAACUAGGCUGGUAAAAAUAUAAAAGAUAUUUUUCAGUGGGUAUUUCUAUUUUUCCUUGUUUUAUUCCUUUAAAUAAUCAUAAAUUAAAGAAAUAAUAUUAAACAGUUAAAAUAAAUCACCAUAAAUUUUUGUAACAUCAUUUACAGUGUAAAUAACCUGGGAAAAAUAUCAAAAGUGGUUUUCAUAAUGUAUAAACUGGUUUUGGGUAUUUAUGUAUAUUUAAGUGUAUUUUAGUGCAAUUAACUUUAGAAAAUAAGAGAAAAAUAGUUUACAGUAGAGAAAAAUAUUCAAAAUUUUUAUGUAACCUCCUACUGUAUAAUAUUAUAUCCUGGUAAAUUUUCAUGAAUUUUGGAUAAUCAGAACUAUUUUUCCCAUUUUUAGACCAUUAUAAUUACCAAGAAUUGGUAAAAAUAGUAAGACAUGAUGAAAAAUCUUGAAAUUAUUUUCUGAAGUCACCCAUGACAGUUAAGGUAUGCGAAAAUUGUUAGAUACAAUUUUCAUAUCCUCUAAGGGGGUUUUGUAAUUUAUCAUGUCCUAAAUAAAAGAAAAUUAGAAAUCGUAUUAAACAGUAACAAAAAUUUCUGAAAUUUGGUGAGGGGUCAUUAUUCCCCAUAAGUAUCAUCCAUGAAUUUAUUUAGGAUUUAUUGACCUCUGGAAGUAUUUUAUAUGAUUUAUGCCCUUGGUUUUAGCAAUAAUUCUAAUAAAUCAAAGAAAUAACAAAAGCUCUUGAAAUUUUCCAGAUUAUCUCAUGCAUGCAAGGGCUUUCAAAAGGAAAAAUGUAAAAAAAAGUAUUCAGAAGAGAAAUGAGGGUAAUGAUUCCAAACAAUUUAAGAAAAGUUGCAUGCAAUAAUGCAUGAAGUGUAGAUGUGGCUGAGGUUCAUGAAUUUUUGUAGCCCAUUCAGUGAGGUUUUAAGCCACGAAAUUUCAACCAUCAUUCACUAGAUAUGUUAAGUUUCUAAGGUAUUUUUCCUCAGAUUUAUGGUUGGGUUUAAGGCCAUUGUUUAAGCAAGAUAAAAAUAGUGAUCACAGAAAAAGAGCUGUAUGCGCAACCUUUUUGUAAAAUCUGCCAAAAAUCGGAUAUUUAAUAUUUUACAGUAAGACCAGUUGGGUUUGAAAGUUAAUUCGUGGAACUAACCAAUACAAAAAGAAUAUCAUGAUUUGGUUAAGAAAUGACUGAGUUAUGACUGUUCAAAGUCGAACAAAGUAAUCUGGCAGAUUGCAUGUUUGCUUGUGUGCAUUAUUAGGGUAUUUCAACAAGAACAUCAUGCAUGUCUUUGGUAAGGCCCGAUUUCUAACACAUGCAUGGAAUGAAUGAGCAUCCAAGAUGUACUAGAAAUGGUUUAAAUGCUUUUGUUCAUGCAUGAACACAAAAGAAAUGGAGAAGAACAUGAAAUAUUAGGUUUUGAUGUCACAUGAUCAUAUGUGCAUCUUUUCCACUCCUUGCAUGGGUUUGAUCCCGGAUUUUCACCAUCUCUAACACAUGCAUUGUGUUAUGGUGAGAAUCUACAAACCACAAGGGGAGAAUAAAGAUUUCUAGCCAUGGAAAGGCAUAGAAUCCGAAAAGUAGAGAAGACUAAGAAGAAAAAGAGGUUUAACCAUGAAACUAUGGAAGAAGAUGUUGUUGUUUACCUUGGUUUUGACCUUGAGAGAAGUAAGAACACUUCAAGGGCUUCACAAUCUCGAAAUUUUGCAGAGAAAUGAGAGGAUUUUCGUGAGUUUAGAGAGAGGGAAGAAGAGAGUGAAGUGUGUGAAGAGAGUGAAGUGAGAGAGUGAAGUGGAAGAGGUGGAGUGAGGGUUUAGGCUUAAUGAUUGUGUUUUGGGGAAGAGAGAGGGCAUGGGGAGAGGUGAUGGCCGGUUUUUGCAUGCCUUUUGGCCUCCUCUCUCCUAAAUUUUAAACUUUAUAAACUUCCCUCCUAUAUUUUAUAUAAAAACAUUCAUUUUUAUAAAAUGUUUAUUAAGCAAUUUGAUUUAUUUAAAAAUCUUGUUUUCAACAAAUAAUUUAUGAUUAAUACUUGUAAUUUAUAUUUCUAGUUCAUUGGUAUAAUCCAUAAUUUGAUUAAUAAAAUUUGAUAUUAGGAAGUUUAUAGCCAAAUUUUAUAAAGUUUUUAAGCUUUAUAAUUUAUAACUUUGGAUUUUUGGCUCUUUAGGGUUUUUGGAAUAUUGUUUGAUAUUCAACAACAUGUUGAAGUAUAAUUAGAAUGUUUUAAUUUAUUUUUAGAGUUUUAUACCCUAUUUCAAUUAUAACAAAGCUUGAAGCUUUAUUCUAAUUAUAGUAUUGGCAUUUCCUAUUGUAGCUAAGCAACUUACUAGAAUUGUAAGUAUCAAGUAUAUUAGUCCUAGACCUUAGUUGGAUCCUAGUUUAUGCAAGAUUUUUGACCUAAUUUAUACUACUAGGUCAUGGCAUGUUGUGCAUGAAUGGUUAUUAUAAAGAUGCAUGAGUCCAAGAAUGACCUGAAUUGGCAGUUGUCACAGUAUCCCCCACUUAAAAAGAAUUUCGUCCCGAAAUUCAUUCUAUGUCAUCGCUUGUCAUCGCAAGGGAAUAGUUGCGGAUACUUUUCCUUUAUGUAGUCCUCGCGCUCCCAGGUGUACUCCGGACCGCGUUUUGAGUUCCAUCGAACUUUCACAAUCGGGAUCUUACUCCGCUUAAGUUGUUUUACCUCCCUGUCAAGGAUUUCUAUCGGUUCCUCAACGAAGCUCAGCUUAUCAUUGAUCUUAAUUUCCUCCAGGGGUACUAUCAAUGUUUCGUCGGCUAGACAUUUCUUAAGGUUGGAGACGUGGAAUGUGUCGUGAAUGGCGCUUAACUCUUGGGGCAAUUGGAGUUUAUACGCUACUGGACCAAUCCUUUCAAGGAUUUCAAAGGGUCCAACAUAUCUCGGGCUUAGUUUUCCUUUCUUACCAAAACGCACAAGCCCUUUCCAAGGCGACACUUUUAAAAGUACCUUGUCUCCUACUUGGAAUUCUAAUGGUUUUCGACGAUUAUCCGCAUAACUUUUCUGACGAUCUCUAGCAGCUUUAAGCUUAUCCUUGAUGAUAGCAAUCUUGUCGGAUGUUUCCUGGAUAAGUUCGACUCUAGUCAACUGUCUGUCUCCGAUUUCUGUCCAGCAUAAGGGCGAACGACACUUGCGUCCAUACAAUGCUUCAUAUGGAGCACAUUGGAUACUCGUGUGGUAACUGUUAUUGUAGGAAAACUCAAUUAGGGGCAAAUGAGUAUCCCAAUUUCCUUUGAACUCAAUGACACACGCUCGUAGCAUGUCUUCCAAUGUUUGUAUUGUUCUCUCUGUUUGCCCAUCUGUCUGAGGGUGGUAAGCUGUGCUCAAAUCUAUCUUGGUUCCUAGUGCCCUCUGUAACAUCCACCAAAAUCGAGAUGUAAAACGACUAUCUCUAUCAGAAAUGAUAGAUAGGGGUACACCAUGCAGAGAAACAAUUUUGUCGAUGUAGAUUUGGGCCAAUUUUUCCAUCUUGAAAUCUUCUCGAAUGGGGAGAAAGUGUGCAGAUUUCGUCAAUCGAUCCACUAUGACCCAAAUUGAGUCAUGACCUUUAGCAGUUCUAGGAAGUUUGGUAACAAAGUCCAUAGAUAUUUGCUCUCAUUUCCAUUGGGGAAUUUCAGGUUGUUAACCCUUGGAAUCCAGACCCUGUCUUUAAAAUAACGAACUCCAUCAGGUUUGGUUUCAAAUCUUUCUUCCAAACCAUGUAAAGUUUCGCCUGGAAGAUUUUCCUUGCAUAACGCUUUCUCCUGGGCAUUAAUGAUUUGAGAUUUCAAGCUUGUCUGAAUUACCAUUCCCAAAGCUCUCACAUGGGAAGGUUUCACUCUUUCUUUCCUACUAAGAGCGUCGGCUACUACGUUAGCCUUCCCUGGGUGAUAUCGUAUCUCACAAUCAUAAUCACUAAACAACUCUACCCAUCUUCUCUGCCGCAUGUUUAACAUUUUCUGAUCCAGGAUAUGCUGAAGGCUUUUGUGAUCGGUAUAAAUGGUGCACUUGGUUCCGUACAAAUAAUGCCUCCAUAUCUUAAGGGCGAAAAUUAUUGCUCCUAGUUCUAGAUCAUGGGUGGUAUAAUUCUUCUCGUGCGGUUUGAGUUGUCUGGAAGCAUAUGCAAUGACCUUAUCUUUUUGCAUUAGCACACAUCCUAAUCCUUGAUGAGACGCAUCACAAUACACCACAAAGUUCUCUAAUCCUUCUCAUAAAGCCAGAAUUGGUGCAUUGCACAGCUUGUUUUUCAGGAUUUGAAACGCCUCUUCGUGUUUCUCUUCCCAGAGAAAUUUUCUAUCCUUUUGGGUCAAAGAUGUUAAUGGUUGAGCAAUCCUAGAGAAAUUCUCAAUGAAGCGUCUGUAGUACCCAGCUAAUCCUAGGAAUUGUCGUAUUUCUGUCGGGGUUUUGGGGGCCUCCCAUUUCUUGAUUGCCUCUAUCUUAGCUGGAUCUACAUGGAUUCCUCUUUCGCCGAUCACAUGACCAAGAAAAUGUACUUCCCGAAUCCAAAAUUCACACUUAGUGAACUUGGCAUACAAUUUAUGUUCCUUCAACAGCUCCAACACUAGCUUUAGAUGUCUAUUGUGAUCUUCUUUGGUCCGCAAGUAAACAAGUAUGUCAUCGAUAAAUACAAUUACAAACCUGUCUAGGUAUGGUCUACAGACCCUAUUCAUCAAAUCCAUGAAUACAGCGGGUGCGUUCGUUAGUCCAAAAGGCAUGACUAAGAACUCAUAAUGUCCAUAACGGGUUCUAAAUGUUGUUUUGUGAAUGUCCUCUUCGUGAAUUCUUAGCUGAUGAUACCCUGACCGAAGGUCGAUUUUUGAGAAGUAGGAAGCGCCCUGCAACUGAUCGAACAAGUCAUCUAUUCUAGGGAGGGGAUAUCGAUUCUUGAUUGUCAACUUGUUCAAUUCUCUGUAAUCAAUGCACAUUCGGAACGAACCAUCUUUCUUUUUGACGAAUAACACUGGGGCUCCCCAAGGUGAAGAACUUGGUCGAAUAAACCCUUUGUCUAGAAGUUCUUGAAGUUGUCCGGAUAGUUCUUGCAUCUCGGAUGGUGCAAGGCGAUAUGGUGCUUUUGCUACCGGUGCCGCUCCGGGAAUUAAGUCUAUCCGAAAUUCGACCUGUCUAUAAGGGGGUAGACCGGGCAAUUCCUCCGGAAAUACUUCGGGAUAGUUUUGAACCACUGGAAUCUCCUUGAGUUGCUUAGCUUCAGGUUCUCUUUCUAGCACGUGGGCCAUGAAUGCAAUACAAUUCUUCUUCAGGUACUUGUGAACCUUCACGCUUGAUACUAUGUUUAAACUUCUUCCUGGCUUCUCACCGUGUAUGAUAAGGGUUUCUCCAUUAGGGAGAGGCACUCUAAUGACUUUCUCAUAACAACCAAUGUCCGCUCUAUUUUUGGAUAACCAAUCCAUCCCUACUAUCACAUCAAAACUACCUAGCUCUAUGGGAAUUAGGUCAAUGCUAAAGAGUUUAUCAGCUAAAUUCAGAGUACAACUAGGAAUUAUAUCACUAGCCCUAAUUUCAUAUCCAUCAGCAAGUUCAAUAGCAUAAGCAUUCCUCAUGUUUACCGAUUUCAAGCCAAUUAACGGUCUAAAUGCUAAAGAAACAAAACUCCUAUCUGCUCCUGCAUCGAAUAUUACUGAUGCAAAAUGGUUGUUCAGGAGAAACGUACCUGUUAUCACUUCAGGGUUCUAACGAGCUUCUUCUGCACCAAUCACAAAGGCUACACCUCUUGGCCGUCUAACUUGAUUUCCUUGAAAGUUUUGCCUGGCUUGGCCUUGUCCAUUGUUACCAGGUCCAUUGUUCAGUUUGGGACAUGCUCUACGGAGAUGAUCCGUACUCCCGCACUCGUAACAUGCCCUCCAAGCACAUAAUAUGUUGUCAUCGCAUGACCUGCCUCUCGUCUAGCAGCACUAGCAGUGUUAGCAGUCUCCAUCGAAUGCUGGAACAGGAUUUCCAUCACUGUCAUCACUUCUUUCAACACCUCCUGAUGCCUGGCUAUUACAGCGAGGCUGUGGCGCAGUUCUGCUACCAUCGAAUGCAUCCUCCGGGAAUCCUCCGGGGUCAUACCUGGCUGCCUGACAGGUAUUCCUAUAACUUGCUGAGGUGAGGGUGCUCUCGGUCCUGCAUCGCUGGGUUCUGCUCCGCUAGGUCCUGCCGUGCCAUGUCCUGCUGUGCUGGCGGGUAUCCUUCCUGGAAUGGGAACACUCUUCCUCGCUGUCCUCCGAAUGCGAAGUCCAUAGAGCGGUGGCUGUGGCAACACCGAUGUAGGUGAUGCCUCGCGUCGUUGACUCGGGGCGUUGUCAUUGCUGAUCUCCACCGAGUUCCCAGUAUCAUCCGUAUCCUCUGAUGGGUCUUCUUCUACCGAGGCGGGGGGAUUACGUCGAGGGAUAACAGUGACGUAGCCGGAUUCAUCGGCUGAGGCGGUAGCGCGGGAAGAUGACGAUGUUGACAUAGUGGACUGUGACAUAGUUUCAAUGAGAUAUGAAAUAAAUGACAAUGCAUGCCUAUAAUAUGCAAUGCUUACACACACCAAAAUUAACCUUUUGAAAUUUUGAAAUAAAGUUUUCUCAAAUAUUUUUGUUGAACAUAUUCCCAUUAUAAUUAGCUCAAGCUUUGUAUAAAUCUUUUCUUAAUUAAACAUAGGUGAUCAGGCUAUGUUUAAUCAAGGUCCAAUAAUACAACUCCCGACCUAAUUAUACUAGUAAUAUGUUUGAUGUAAAAAGAAUUUCUUUGUAAGUUUUAGUUAUAGGUUGUGUUUUCUUAAAGAAAAACCGAUGUUCUCUAUAACAUUAGCUCUGAUACCACUUCUGUCACACCCCGCUAAAGCGGAAACGCAAGGUAUGACAACGAUAACGGUUUCAAUGCAAAAGAUAAAGAUACAUCACCAUAGCAGUAUUUAAAAUUUUACAACCCAUAGCUUCAAAAGAAACAAAAUACAAGUUUUUCAAAAUAACAUUGUUCAAAAUAUAGCUUCAUAAUAGCUUCAACACGAUGCAGCAUGCUCUAUGCUGAUGAAUCUUUACAUCCACUUACUAAUUACUUCCUGAAAAAGCAUAUAAAACGAGCGUCAACUAUGAAAAUAGUUGGUGAGUAUCACAAGUUUAUAAAAAUCGAGCGUACAAUAAGGCUUUUCGUAAAUACAAGUACAUUGCUUCAAUGAUAAACAAGUUGAUUGCUAUUAAUGAAUACAAGUUUAUUGCUAUAACGAGAAACGAGUUUGUAUGUGUAUGAGCAAACAAUGAGUCUCAACCAAACCUAUGACUGAAGCCCUAUCGAGAUCUAUGCUUAUCGUUCCAUAGAUGAAUAUGGUAUCAUGCACUCCAACGAUUCGGGCGAGUGAGGAGUUGUCAAUUCCUAAUAGCGCUAUCCAUAAUGACCAUUGGCUCAAAGAGUUAAUGGUUAGAGAUAAGGGAAGGGCCUUAGUACGAUAAGUUCUCAUGUUCCGUGUUGCAUAGACAUACAUAAAGAAACAUAGCAAUACAAUAGCAAUCAUGUUUGAUACAAAUCAAUUUAAAUACAACAUGCAAACAGUAGUUUUUCUGGACAUGCUUUUCCACCCCAAAACAUAAAAACCGAAAAUAGGGGAGUGCGUGAAUACUCACGAUGUUUUGUGUAGACACAAGCGGUACUUCGGGAUGCACCAACGUCUUACUACCGGGAUCCUACGACAUCAAACACACGCACUAGUGAGUUUCCAUGUCGAUAUCUAAUGCUAAUAUACUAAACUCUACAUAUAGGGAAAUGCCAAUUUAUGUUUUAGUAUUGGAUUUUAUAUCAAUUAGUUACACUUUUUCUGAAGUAAUGAAAUUCUAUAUAUCGGGCGAUUAAUUACAACCUUGGAAUAUAAACUUUCCAAAUUUUUAAGUCUCUAUAACAACAUAAAUUCACGAAAAACAGCAUUCGAGGGAUAAAAAUUCUCAAACUUUUUAUUUAACUGUUAUUACACAAUACUAAGUUGGGAAAAAUAUAAAAAUGGAUUUCCAAGCUGUUUAAUUGUAUUUUAUGAUUUUUGAGCAUUUAUUUCAAUAAAAAUUGAAAUAAAUAGAAAACAGUUUCCAAAAUUACCCAAACUUUUUAUUUAAUUGUUAUUAUACAUAACUAGGCUGGUAAAAAUAUAAAAGAUAUUUUUCAGUGGGUAUUUCUAUUUUUCCUUGUUUUAUUCCUUUAAAUAAUCAUAAAUUAAAGAAAUAAUAUUAAACAGUUAAAAUAAAUCACC